UUGUAGCUGGAAUAAACUGAAGCUGCGCAUUGACUCUAGAUCUUUCCUCUUUGGGUCCAAAGAUAAUAACUUCAGUUUUGUUUCUGCUCAGCUGGAAAAACAGCUGGAGAUAGGC